UGAUUACUCCCUCCGUUGCAUAAUUAUUGUCGUGGUUUUAGUUCAAAUUUGAAUUAUUGUCGUGGUUUUAAUUCAAAUUUGAACUAAAACCACGACAAUAAUUAUGCAACGGAGGGAGUACAUG
rnacentral:pre_miRNA from 1 species